UACGGAGGGAGCUAGCGUUGUUCGGAAUACUGGGCGUAAAGCGCACGUAGGCGGCGAUUCAAGUCAGAGGUGAAAGCCCGGGGCUCAACCCCGGAACUGCCUUUGAAACUCCCGCGCUUGAGAACUGGAGGGGACAUCGGAAUUCACGGUGGAGCAGUGAAAUGCGUGGAUAUCGUGAGGAACACUAGUGGCGAAGGCGGAUGUCUGGACAGUAUCUGACGCUGAGGCACGAAGGCCAGGGGAGCGAACGGG
rnacentral:rRNA from 1 species